AGAGUUUGAUCCUGGCUCAGGAUGAACGCUAGCGACAGGCUUAACACAUGCAAGUCGAGGGGCAGCACAGGUAGCAAUACCGGGUGGCGACCGGCGCACGGGUGAGUAACGCGUAUGCAACUUACCUAUCAGAGGGGGAUAACCCGGCGAAAGUCGGACUAAUACCGCAUGAAGCAGGGGCCCCGCAUGGGGAUAUUUGCUAAAGAUUCAUCGCUGAUAGAUAGGCAUGCGUUCCAUUAGGCAGUUGGCGGGGUAACGGCCCACCAAACCGACGAUGGAUAGGGGUUCUGAGAGGAAGGUCCCCCACAUUGGUACUGAGACACGGACCAAACUCCUACGGGAGGCAGCAGUGAGGAAUAUUGGUCAAUGGGCGUAAGCCUGAACCAGCCAAGUCGCGUGAGGGAUGAAGGUUCUAUGGAUCGUAAACCUCUUUUAUAAGGGAAUAAAGUGCGGGACGUGUCCCGUUUUGUAUGUACCUUAUGAAUAAGGAUCGGCUAACUCCGUGCCAGCAGCCGCGGUAAUACGGAGGAUCCGAGCGUUAUCCGGAUUUAUUGGGUUUAAAGGGUGCGUAGGCGGCCUUUUAAGUCAGCGGUGAAAGUCUGUGGCUCAACCAUAGAAUUGCCGUUGAAACUGGGGGGCUUGAGUAUGUUUGAGGCAGGCGGAAUGCGUGGUGUAGCGGUGAAAUGCUUAGAUAUCACGCAGAACCCCGAUUGCGAAGGCAGCCUGCCAAGCCAUGACUGACGCUGAUGCACGAAAGCGUGGGGAUCAAACAGGAUUAGAUACCCUGGUAGUCCACGCAGUAAACGAUGAUCACUAGCUGUUUGCGAUACAGUGUAAGCGGCACAGCGAAAGCGUUAAGUGAUCCACCUGGGGAGUACGCCGGCAACGGUGAAACUCAAAGGAAUUGACGGGGGCCCGCACAAGCGGAGGAACAUGUGGUUUAAUUCGAUGAUACGCGAGGAACCUUACCCGGGCUUAAAUUGCAGUGGAAUGAUGUGGAAACAUGUCAGUGAGCAAUCACCGCUGUGAAGGUGCUGCAUGGUUGUCGUCAGCUCGUGCCGUGAGGUGUCGGCUUAAGUGCCAUAACGAGCGCAACCCUUGUUGUCAGUUACUAACAGGUGAUGCUGAGGACUCUGACAAGACUGCCAUCGUAAGAUGCGAGGAAGGUGGGGAUGACGUCAAAUCAGCACGGCCCUUACAUCCGGGGCGACACACGUGUUACAAUGGCGUGGACAAAGGGAUGCCACCUGGCGACAGGGAGCGAAUCCCCAAACCACGUCUCAGUUCGGAUCGGAGUCUGCAACCCGACUCCGUGAAGCUGGAUUCGCUAGUAAUCGCGCAUCAGCCAUGGCGCGGUGAAUACGUUCCCGGGCCUUGUACACACCGCCCGUCAAGCCAUGGGAGCCGGGGGUACCUGAAGUACGUAACCGCAAGGAUCGUCCUAGGGUAAAACUGGUGACUGGGGCUAAGUCGUAACAAGGUAGCCGUACCGGAAGGUGCGGCUG
rnacentral:rRNA from 1 species